GAUGAACGCUGGCGGCGCGCCUAACACAUGCAAGUCGAACGGUUAAAGCAUCUUCGGAUGUGCAUAAAGUGGCGAACGGCUGAGUAACACGUGGGCAACCUGCCCCUCGCAUCGGGACAGCCUCGGGAAACCGUGGUUAAUACCGGAUACUCCGCCACCCCCGCAUGGGGGAGGCGGGAAAGCCCAGACGGCGAGGGAUGGGCCCGCGGCCUGUUAGCUUGUUGGUGGGGCAGUGGCCCACCAAGGCGAUGAUGGGUAGCCGGGUUGAGAGACCGACCGGCCAGAUUGGGACUGAGACACGGCCCAGACUCCUACGGGAGGCAGCAGUGGGGAAUCUUGCACAAUGGGCGAAAGCCUGAUGCAGCGACGCCGCGUGCGGGACGAAGGCCUUCGGGUCGUAAACCGCUUUCAGCAGGGACGAGGCCGCAAGGUGACGGUACCUGCAGAAGAAGCCCCGGCUAACUACGUGCCAGCAGCCGCGGUAAUACGUAGGGGGCGAGCGUUAUCCGGAUUCAUUGGGCGUAAAGCGCGCGUAGGCGGCCUGCUAGGUCGGGAGUCAAAUCCGGGGGCUCAACCCCCGUCCGCUCCCGAUACCGGCUGGCUUGAGUCUGGUAGGGGAAGGUGGAAUUCCCAGUGUAGCGGUGGAAUGCGCAGAUAUUGGGAAGAACACCGGUGGCGAAGGCGGCCUUCUGGGCCACGACUGACGCUGAGGCGCGAAAGCUAGGGAGCGAACAGG
rnacentral:rRNA from 1 species